UAUGGAGGGAGCUAGCGUUGUUCGGAAUUACUGGGCGUAAAGCGCACGUAGGCGGCUAUUCAAGUCGGGGGUGAAAGCCCGGGGCUCAACCCCGGAACUGCCCUCGAAACUAGAUAGCUAGAAUCUUGGAGAGGCGAGUGGAAUUCCGAGUGUAGAGGUGAAAUUCGUAGAUAUUCGGAAGAACACCAGUGGCGAAGGCGACUCGCUGGACAAGUAUUGACGCUGAGGUGCGAAAGCGUGGGGAGCAAACAGG
rnacentral:rRNA from 1 species